GAUGAACGCUGGCGGCGUGCUUAACACAUGCAAGUCGAGCGAAGCAGUUAAGUUGAUUUCUUCGGAUUGAUUCUUGACUGACUGAGCGGCGGACGGGUGAGUAACGCGUGGGUGACCUGCCCCAUACCGGGGGAUAACAGCUGGAAACGGCUGCUAAUACCGCAUAAGCGCACAGAGCUGCAUGGCUCAGUGUGAAAAACUCCGGUGGUAUGGGAUGGGCCCGCGUCUGAUUAGGCAGUUGGCGGGGUAACGGCCCACCAAACCGACGAUCAGUAGCCGGCCUGAGAGGGCGACCGGGCCACAUUGGGACUGAGACACGGGCCCAAACUCCUACGGGAGGCAGCAGUGGGGAAUAUUGCACAAUGGGGGAAACCCUGAUGCAGCGACGCCGCGUGAGCGAAGAGUAUUCGGUAUGUAAAGCUCUAUCAGCAGGGAAGAUAAUGACGGUACCUGAACUAAAGAA
rnacentral:rRNA from 1 species